rnacentral:rRNA from 1 species
GGCGGACGGGUGAGUAACGCGUAGGUAUCUGCCCUGGAGUGGGGAACAACAGCUGGAAACGGCUGCUAAUACCGCAUACGCCCGGUAACGGGGAAAGCUUUAUGCGCUCUAGGAGGAACCUGCGUCCGAUUAGCUAGUUGGAGGGGUAACGGCCCACCAAGGCGACUAUCGGUAGCUGGUCUGAGAGGAUGAUCAGCCACACUGGGACUGAGACACGGCCCAGACUCCUACGGGAGGCAGCAGUGGGGAAUAUUGGACAAUGGGGGCAACCCUGAUCCAGCAAUGCCGCGUGCGUGAAGAAGGCCUUAGGGUUGUAAAGCGCUUUCGCCCGCGACGAUGAUGACGGUAGCGGGAGAAGAAGCCCCGGCUAACUCCGUGCCAGCAGCCGCGGUAAUACGGAGGGGGCGAGCGUUGUUCGGAAUUACUGGGCGUAAAGGGCGC